UGCAUUUGUAAUUUGUGAUAUGGCUUUUGUAAUUUGUGAUAUGGCUUUUGUAUAUCUGGAACAACUUUAUUGAAGUUAAGAUGAAAGAAAUUUGCUUGAGUAGAACAUUUACUGACUGCUAUUUGUAUUGUAAGCUUUAGUACGAUGUUUGAUUGAUGAAAGCUACUCAAUAUCUUUGGUAAAUAUUUUUUAUUGUUGUAUUCUUUGUAAAAGGCAAGCCAAGGAUGAACAAAAAAAAAUUCUUGCUGUGUAAACUGUUUCUUUAAACAGAAUUUAGACUUGUGUAUUCAUCAGCUGCUAUACCUUUUCUCAUAUAUAUCCCAUAACAUAAGAAAAGCAUUGUGGGUUGUUUUUUUUUAGGUGUUAUCAAAUGUAUGAUUAAUAUCAUCUUUUAUUGACUUUGACUUCAUUCACAUUUUAAAUGGCAUCACUUGACCUCCUCAAACUACCAGCCCUUCAUUCCUGAAUCCAAAUCAAAGAGAAAGGUGGAGUAUUAUGGUAAUAAACAUGUCAUAUUUCUGUUUUAUGUUAACAAUUCUUUUCUAAUGUGUCGAGAAACUUUCUUGCUGAGAUAGAUAACAAUUGUAAUAUGUUGGAUUGACUUAUUAAAACCAGCCACUACACGUGAAAAUUGUAAAUGAUUCAAUUCUGGUCCUUUUAUUUUUCUAUUCUACAUUAAUAGUUAAUUAUCAAUGUAAGCAUUUAUAUAUCUGCAUAGUUCAUAAUUGCCUGAGGUGUGACUUCAUUGUUCAUAAUUGAGUGAGGUAUGACUUUUUUCCAUGUGACUUCAUUGUAUAUAAAAUUGUAAAUUAUUAUUUGUAAGAUAACACAUUCAGAAAUGUUGUUGUUCUAUUAAAGUUCUAUGUCAAUUUUUAGUUUUAUGACAACAUAGCAUCAACUAGCAUACUACAUACAUUAGUCAGAUACGUUGUUUUUUUCCUACUGAAGCCUACUGUUUCUUUGUAUUUUAAUAAUUGUUGAAUCAGUUGAGUUUGAUUCAACUAUGUGACUCGAAUCAUACCUAUGUUAUUUCUGGCAGAAGAGAAGUUAGGUCAAUAGGAAAUAUUUUUAGCAUGACAGUGAGGUGGAGAAAACCUUUUUCUAGUUCACUGUUUUUCUUGUUAGUAUUUAAAAAUUUUUUCACAAUCUUUAAAUGACAAGUAAAUCAGAUUAGCCUCUGACAUUCCUAAGGUAUCAAUCAAUGACAGCUAGAUCUUUCUUUUUAUUUUUUUCUCUCUUCGAGUUAUUAAGGUUCAAUGUUUGUUGUGAACAGAUUUCAGAAAUAUGCAAGUUAUUUUGCUUUUUUUUUUAGCAUCAUGUCCUUACACAUUGAAAGAGUUUAACCUUAGACACUAAUUUUGUUCUACUUUAAGCCUUACUCAUCAUUUUUUGUUUUUAUUAUUUUAUUUACCUAUAAUAGAUUUGAAGCAAAUAGACACAGUUUAGAAGAAAAGCAUUUCUUACUAUGCAGUUUUAUUGGGCAAGAGAGUCCCUAUUAUUAUAGUCGGAUGUCGAGCCUCCUUCAUAGGUAGUCAGGUUCAAGCGUACUUAGCCUCUCGACCACACUUCCCACAAUUGAACCAGUCUAUAACAUUAGCAGGCAUAGGAAAGCAGUGAAUAGAAAGUACCGAUGAAACCGAAGCCAGAACCUCUUGACCUAGUCCAGGUGUACUUGCAAUGAAAGUCUAUUAAGAGGAAUUUGAAUUGUUUUUUUUUGUAAAGAGUGAUCAGGUUAUUGAAAAGUCACAUUUACUGUAAACUUGUUUUUGUUAAAAGACACUUGCAUACUAUGAGAAUGCUGGAAUGAAGACAUAUAGAAAUUAAACUACAAUUCCAAUUUUUUGGAUCAAUAAAAUUUUCUCUCAAAAAACAUUAUUAACCGUUUUCCUCCUCAACUUAAUUUUAAGAAAGUGUAAAUGCAUUUAGGUAAACCACAUAGUAUUGAGCCUUAUCUUCUGAUAUAAAUAUCUUUAUAAUAUCCAGUUUUUAAUGUGAAGGAAAUUAAAUAAUUAUCCUUGUGCUUCUAAUAUAACUCCGAAAAGUUCAUUCAGAGCGAGCUCUUCCAGUUUCGAGUUUGAAAAUCCCAUUUAAAGGAUAGUUUAAAUUAAAAUCUUAUAAAUAGCAUUACAUUUUGCAAUAUACAAUGAAACACUAUACAUUCAUCAUAUUGUAUGUUUGAAUCUUUAACUCUUAUAUAAUACAGAUGUUACAUUAAAAAAGAUGAUGAUCACGUCCUAGCUCAGGCAACUCAUUCCAUGCUUUAAUAGCACUAGGGAAGAAGGAGCAUAUCUUUGUGUCUUUUAAAGGUUGUUAUGACCUCUAUAUUUUUUUUUCCAUAGCAACUGACAACAUCUAAAGCUAUUAAUAUUAUUAAUAAUUGAGCCAAACUUUGUGAUCUAUAUUAUUCGUCU